rnacentral:rRNA from 1 species
UUGCCAGACUCCUACGGGAGGCAGCAGUGGGGAAUAUUGCACAAUGGGGGAAACCCUGAUGCAGCGACGCCGCGUGAGCGAUGAAGUAUUUCGGUAUGUAAAGCUCUAUCAGCAGGGAAGAAAAUGACGGUACCUGACUAAGAAGCCCCGGCUAACUACGUGCCAGCAGCCGCGGGAAUACGUAGGGGGCAAGCGUUAUCCGGAUUUACUGGGUGUAAAGGGAGCGUAGACGGCGGUGCAAGCCAGAUGUGAAAGCCCGGGGCUCAACCCCGGGACUGCACUGGAAACUGCCGGGCUGGAGUGUCGGAGGGGCAGGCGGAAUUCCUAGUGUAGCGGUGAAAUGCGUAGAUAUUAGGAGGAACACCGGUGGCGAAGGCGGCCUGCUGGACGACGACUGACGCUGAGGCUCGAAAGCGUGGGGAGCAAACAGGAUUAGAUACCCCCGUA